CGGGAUUCAGUUACACAUAAAGACCGGCUUCUGCUGCCUUCGCCCAGGCUGGAUUCCCACCCAGUCGCCUCCUGCUGCCUGAGUCACACAGCAGCCAGCUCUGCUGUUCCAGUAACAUUCUUUAAGCCACAGUGAUCCUGUGACAUGGUGCAGAAGUGCAUUGGGUGUUCACGCUGUGUCUCACUCACCAUCUCUACGUGGACUUGUGUAAGGGGAAGACUGCGUUUGCACAAUCAGGGCCUAGGCAUCCCGGGCUCUGGCUCACCUUAGUUCGUGGGGAAUGAAGCAGCUGCCUGUGAAAGACCACGAGUCUCAGAGGGCUCAGCCGUGCAGCGAUUGUGUCUGCUCUAAACACCAAUCCAGAGCAGAACAGCGCGGUGGGCCUGUGGAAGUGAAAGACAGGCAGUGUGCCGAGGUCCUCCUCUGACUUGGUUUGGCGGCUUCAAGGGAAAACAAAGAGACCAGUUCAAAUAGGUGUAUCUCCACCAGUGGCACUAACUUGGCAAAUGCAUUUCCCAGACUUGUGAAUACUGACUGCACUGUGAGGGGCAAAGUUCAAAGAGCUCCUCACUGGAAGAUCGUGGCCAUGCAGGACACCUUGGAAGCUGAAGACAGGACCUCAGUUGAGCCGCAAAGUUGGCAUCAUACAAUUACUGAAUGAGUCCUGCACCCACAGGGACACUCUGCUGUGAGCAUACCGCUCAGGAGACCUCUGGAUUCCUCUGGCUUUGGGCUGGAAAAGUCUCUUCUGGUUCCAGAUGAAAUUUAGGAGUGAUUUCUCUAGAUCUCUAAGCGUGCAUCCCUUCACCCCAGAAGAGGAAAAGCCCACCCUCUCCUCUCCUCCAUCCACAGCGCUUCAGCCCCCGUGGCUCUGCAUCCUCUCCCGAAGUUUCCCGGGCUCCUGCCCUGGCAUAGGCACCCACAGAGCUCCUGAGAGAGCUCUGAGAGAGCUCCCACAGAACUGAGAACCGACGAGCACUGCCCAGAACAGCAGCUGCAAUGGGGUUCGUACAGACAGUGCAUAACGUUUCUCUAUGCUUUGGGCCAAAACUGGCAAUCAUGAGGGUUCUAGCUGGUUGGUACUCAUGACAUGAGAUUGGAUUCAUGACCCUGCUCUUGCCAGGCAGGUGCUCGUGCCACUGAGCUACAUCCCCAGCCCAAGUUUUCUAGUUUUUGACAAUACAACAUUAAUUUCCUACUUUAAUUUGCAUUUCUUACAAAACCAAUAAUAUUGGCCCUCUAUACAAGGGUCAUUUUCUAUUGGACUAUCUCUUUCUGCCAUUAGGUUGAGAACUUCUUCAUAUACCCUAGAUAUUCAUUUCUUGUGUUGGUGAUGGGCAGUAUAUCUCCUCCCAUUGUCUGAGUCUUGUCUGUAGUGUUUCUCUUCUAAUCAAAAAUAUUUAGUCAGAUCUGUCUCUUUUACUGAUUGUACUAUUGGGCUUUGCUAACCAACACUUCCGAAGGUCUGUAAAUAGUAUGCUUAUAUUCUUUUUUAACUUCAUUGUUUUACUUCUAACAUAAAGAUUUUAAACUCAUCUCUGUACACAUUAGUAAAUAAAGAACAACUUACAGUUUUGUUCAUAAAGUAGG